rnacentral:rRNA from 2 species
GGGCAAAGCCUGAUGGAGCAACACCGGGUUGAGUGAAGAAGGGUUUCGGCUCGUAAAGCUUCUGUUGUAAAAGAAGAACAACGUAUGAGAGUAACUGUUCAUACGUUGACGGUAUUUAACCAGAAAGUCACGGCUAACUACGUGCAGCAGCCGCGGUAAUACGUAGGUGGCAAGCGUUAUCCGGAUUUAUUGGGCGUAAAGAGAGUGCAGGCGGUUUUCUAAGUCUGAUGUGAAAGCCUUCGGCUUAACCGGAGAAGUGCAUCGGAAACUGGAUAACUUGAGUGCAGAAGAGGGUAGUGGAACUCCAUGUGUAGCGGUGGAAUGCGUAGAUAUAUGGAAGAACACCAGUGGCGAAGGCGGCUACCUGGUCUGCAACUGACGCUGAGACUCGAAAGCAUGGGUAGCGAACAGGAUUAGAUACCCUGGUAGUCCAUGCCGUAAACGAUGAGUGCUAGGUGUUGGAGGGUUUCCGCCCUUCAGUGCCGGAGCUAACGCAUUAAGCACUCCGCCUGGGGAGUACGACCGCAAGGUUGAAACUCAAAGGAAUUGACGGGGGCCCGCACAAGCGGUGGAGCAUGUGGUUUAAUUCGAAGCUACGCGAAGAACCUUACCAGGUCUUGACAUCUUGCGCCAACCCUAGAGAUAGGGCGUUUCCUUCGGGAACGCAAUGACAGGUGGUGCAUGGUCGUCGUCAGCUCGUGUCGUGAGAUGUUGGGUUAAGUCCCGCAACGAGCGCAACCCUUGUUACUAGUUGCCAGCAUUAAGUUGGGCACUCUAGUGAGACUGCCGGUGACAAACCGGAGGAAGGUGGGGACGACGUCAGAUCAUCAUGCCCCUUAUGACCUGGGCUACACACGUGCUACAAUGGACGGUACAACGAGUCGCGAACUCGCGAGGGCAAGCAAAUCUCUUAAAACCGUUCUCAGUUCGGACUGCAGGCUGCAACUCGCCUGCACGAAGUCGGAAUCGCUAGUAAUCGCGGAUCAGCAUGCCGCGGUGAAUACGUUCCCGGGCCUUGUACACACCGCCCGUCACACCAUGAGAGUUUGUAACACCCAAAGUCGGUGGGGUAACCUUUUAGGAGCCAGCCGCCUAAGGUGGGACAGAUGAUUAGGGUGAAGUCG